AGGUUACACGAUACGAUUGAUUCAGGCAUUUUUGUUAUGUAUACAUGUCGCUACGCAGUCUUUUCUUAGGUCUCGGACUUAGCAUUGUUUUUCACUUACUGCAACAUUAUUUUAAGCUAAGAGCGUCCUCAGUUAUAUUCGGAAAAUCGCUUAAAGGUGUGCUCCUCGAACAUACUCUUCAAUAGAUAGUAUAUUUCGUCUCAGUGACUUAAAUAAGAUUUCAUCACAUUUAUAUCAGUAAAAACAUGUAAGACAAUUAAGGGAUUUAGUUACAAUCUCAUUGCGAAAGCAGGUGAAAAAUUUGUGGCUUCUCUAUAUGAAUAAUACUUUUGCUCGGUCGUACAUACUGUUAACAAUAACGGUGCAAUUUGAUCACAAAUCAAAUUAGAAAUAUUUUAUUUCAUUUUAAUGGAUGAAAUCGAUUAAAAGUUAAUUGAUCAAUUUAAAUAGAAAUUAAUCAAUUUAAGUUUAAAAUUAAUAAAAGAUUUAAAAUCGUAAACAGAAUGCAAUUCGAAAAUUCAGUCUUUUUCAAUGGAUUCAGACGUCAUAAAUUACAGCAAUUGUUUGCAAUUGUAGCAAUUAUUCUUGCUUAUCUAUUUAGUCCAUUGACCCUUAUCAUUCUGAACUUCUUAUAUAUUUAUCGUUGUCUGAUCGAAAUCAUUUUAAGAAUACAAUUGAAGGAUAAGUUUGUUGGUUUUUUGAAAGGCACAGAUUGUGUAUGGGCUAGUGAAGAUGCUGUUUGUUUGUCCGUUCUUAAUAUUUUAAUAAUAAUAGAAAAACCUAAGCAAAACUCAAACGUGAUUUUUCUGGAAGGUUUGAAGAACCUAAUACAUGAUCGCAUAGUUUCAAAGACUACUGGUACGAUAUUUGAAAAGUUAUUUUAUCGUCGAAGACAAAAGUUUGGUUACUACUUUUGGGAGCGAAAUGAAGAGGAGAUCGAUCUGAAUAAUAGGAUCAGAUGGUUGGAAUGCGAGAACGCUGAUUGCGAUGGAUCUUGUGAGGAUGUAUCUAGUGAAUUCUUUAGGAAGAAUUUAGGAAGCAUAUGCAAUAAAACAUUGCCCGAUGAUCACACAGCCGCUUGGGAGAUUCUGGUCGGUAAACGUUGUUCAAGAGGUAGAUCUCGCAUCGACGAUCAUUCGGCUUCCGAAGAAUGCUUUGACACCGAUACUUGCAAGAUUCCUUUAAUAAUUCGCAUCCAUCAUUCUCUGGGCGAUGGAAUAACUCUCCUAAAAUUAUGGUUCGAAAGGAUCUUUGAUCACAAGACGAAAGUAGAAAUCGAAAAUAUGAUUAAUGCGAAUGAAAUAAAUGUCAAAGAGUUUGUUUCACCGUUGCGUAAUUCAGAAAAAAAUCUCCCGAAUGAGACAAAAAAUUUGAAUGAGAAAAUUGUACGAUCCUAUAAAAAGAAUAUUUUCGCCGCAUCUAUAUUUUUUACAACACUGGCACAAGUUAUGAAAAAUUUACGAAGCCACUUUCUUGCGUUAUUGAAAUACUCUAAGACCAUAACGAUCGAUUCUAUAAAACGGCAAACGAAAAUAUUGAUCAAUCAUAGGUUGAAUUUCAAAGAUAUCUGCCUGAAACAAGUGUACGAAAAAAUUAAAGAAAUCAUGCAUUUUACACUGAUCAUCCUUUUGACUCCAAAAUGCAUGAUUGAACAGGCUUGUAGUAUAGACGAAAACUCUCUACAUGGUCCAUCACUAACAGGUGAAAAGAUCAUAUCCUACUGGUUAGACGAUGCUAAUGACAAAUCACAGAAGCUUUUAAUGAAGGUUCGUGAAAUAAAAAAAAAAACAAGUGUCACAUUUGAAGAUGUAAUAUUAACAGCUUUUUCUGCUAGUGUACAAAGAUAUCACUUACGGAUUAAUAGACCAGCACCCGAUUCAUUAACAACCGUUUUGCCGAUAAGAAUGACGAUGCCUGAUGAAGAUAUAACGUUCGAUAAUAAUUUUUCAGUUGCUCGUCUACGAAUUUGCAUUUCCAAGAUGAAUAGACAGAAGAUCAACGAGCCAAAUAAAGAUUCUCAAUUUUUUAAACGUCUUCAGGAUAUUACAAAAGCAAAUAAUGAAUUCAGAAAAUGCCCGAACAUAUUAAUUAAUUUUUGGGUCAUGAAAUAUGUACUCGCCAUAUUGCCGGCAAAAAUUUUGAAACUUCUUCUAUUAAGUCAAAGCACUAUGGUGUUCAGUAAUAUAUAUGGACCAGAAAAGAUUCAUACUCUCAAUAAUUACUUAGCAAGCAAUCUUACUUUCUGGCUACCAAACAAGGGUGCAACUGCUCUCGGUUUUUCUCUGAUUAGUUAUGGAGGCAAUUUAAAUCUAUCUUUAAUAGCUGAUAAAUCAAUAAUAAAUGAUGAAAAAGCUUUAACUGAAAUUUUAAAAGAUACUGUGCGUGAAAUAGAUCAUGCAUACAAUAGUAUCAUGUGACUGGCAUGUUUUUGAAAUCAUCAAAUUUUGGAAAAAAGAAACACCCAUGGAUCAGAUAUCGGUGUUUUUGAAAAAAAAAAAAAAUAAUAUAUAUAUAUGAGUGUUACUUUUGUGGAAACAAUAUACACUUCUUUUAGACACAUCUAUAUGAAAGAAUAUUUAUAUAUUAAUAUAUUUA
rnacentral:misc_RNA from 1 species